UACGUAGGGGGCAAGCGUUGUCCGGAUUUAUUGGGCGUAAAGAGCGUGUAGGCGGCCAGACAGGUCCGUUGUGAAAACUCGAGGCUCAACCUCGAGACGCCGAUGGAAACCGUCUGGCUAGAGUCCGGAAGAGGAGAGUGGAAUUCCCAGUGUAGAGGUGAAAUUCGUAGAUAUUGGGAAGAACACCGAUGGCGAAGGCAGCCAUCUGGACCGACACUGACGCUGAGGCGCGAAAGCGUGGGGAGCAAACAGG
rnacentral:rRNA from 1 species